GUGCACUCUCAAAUGGUUUUUCAAAUUAAUUGCUUGACUAAAUUGUUUAAAACAAAUCUCACACUUGUAAGGUUUUUGCUCAGAGUGCACUCUCAAAUGGUUUUUCAAAUUAAUUGCUUGACUAAAUUGUUUAAAACAAAUCUCACACUUGUAAGGUUUUUCCCCAGUGUGCACUCUCAAAUGCAUUUUCAAAGUACUUGCUUGACUAAAUUGCUUAAAACAAAUCUCACACUUGUAAGGUUUUUCCCCAGUGUGCACUCUCAAAUGCAUUUUCAAAGUACUUGCUUGACUAAAUUGCUUAAAACAAAUCUCACACUUGUAAGGUUUUUCCCCAGUGUGCACUCUCAAAUGUGUUUUUAAAUAGGUCGUUGUAGUAAAUUGCUUAAAACAAAUCUCACACUUGUAAGGUGUUUCCCCAGUGUGCACUCUCAAAUGUUUUGUCAAGUCACUAGCAGAACUACAAUGUUUUAAAGAAAUUUCACAUUUAAAAAGUCUUUUUCCGGUCACAACUUCCAUAUUUU